rnacentral:rRNA from 1 species
UACGUAGGGUGCAAGCGUUGUCCGGAAUUAUUGGGCGUAAAGAGCUCGUAGGCGGUUUGUCGCGUCGGCUGUGAAAACCCGAGGCUCAACCUCGGGCCUGCAGUCGAUACGGGCAAACUAGAGUGUGGUAGGGGAGACUGGAAUUCCUGGUGUAGCGGUGAAAUGCGCAGAUAUCAGGAAGAACACCCGUGGCUAAGGCGGCUCUCUAGUACGGUACUGACGCUGAGACGCGAAAGCGUGGGGAGCGAACAGG